rnacentral:rRNA from 1 species
AGAGUGAACGCUGGCGGCAGGCCUAACACAUGCAAGUCGAACGGCAGCACAGGGGAGCUUGCUCCCUGGGUGGCGAGUGGCGGACGGGUGAGGACAACGUCGGAAUCUGCCUUUUUGUGGGGGAUAACGUAGGGAAACUUACGCUAAUACCGCAUACGGACCCCGGGCCGGGAGGUACGGGUGAAAGCGGAGGACCUUCGGGCUUCGCGCAGAGAGAUGAGCCGACGUCGGAUUAGCUAGUUGGUGGGGUAAAGGCCC